UACAGAGGGGGCGAGCGUUAUUCGGAAUUAUUGGGCGUAAAGGGCGCGUAGGCGGCUUUUCAAGUGACGGGUGAAAUCCCUCGGCUUAACCGAGGAACUGCCUGUCAGACUGGAAGGCUUGAGACCGGGAGAGGUGAGUGGAAUUCCCAGUGUAGCGGUGAAAUGCGCAGAUAUCAGGAGGAACACCAAUAGCGAAGGCAGCUCGCUGGGACGUUACUGACACUGAGGCGCGAAAGCGUGGGGAGCGAACAGG
rnacentral:rRNA from 1 species